rnacentral:rRNA from 1 species
GAUGAACGCUGGCGGCGUGCUUAACACAUGCAAGUCGAACGAAGCAUUUUAAUGGAACAUUUUCGGAUGGGAAGUUAAAAUGACUGAGUGGCGGACGGGUGAGUAACGCGUGGAUAACCUACCAUAUACAGGGGGACAACAGUUGGAAACGACUGCUAAUACCGCAUAAGCGCACAGUGCCGCAUGGCCCGGUGUGAAAAACUCCGGUGGUAUAUGAUGGAUCCGCGUCUGAUUAGCUAGUUGGUGAGGUAAUGGCCCACCAAGGCAACGAUCAGUAGCCGAUCUGAGAGGGUGACCGGCCACAUUGGGACUGAGACACGGCCCAAACUCCUACGGGAGGCAGCAGUGGGGAAUAUUGCACAAUGGGCGAAAGCCUGAUGCAGCGACGCCGCGUGAGCGAAGAAGUAUUUCGGUAUGUAAAGCUCUAUCAGCAGGGAAGAAAAUGACGGUACCUGACUAAGAAGCCCCGGCUAACUACGUGCCAGCCGCCGCGGUAA